GUGCCUCGGCAUCAGCGUG
rnacentral:snRNA from 1 species